UAGGUGCAAGGGACUGUAGACUUGUCUC
rnacentral:piRNA from 1 species